GCCGUGCCCAGAACCCAGUCUUCCCCGUUCCUAGCACAAGCAUCCCAUCCCCACUCGGCUUUUGGCACUAGAGUCUUGGAUUCAAGUCCCAUUCACCGUCUGACCCCUCUCUGGGCCUCACUUUCCCCAUAUGAGGAAGAACCAGAGACCUGGAGAGGUCAGCACUUAGGACUCCUGUUCCUUUAAGCCUCUCUCCGUGGAGGGUGCGGCCGCGGGCUGCAGCCUCCGGGCAGCCGGCUUCACUCCCAUAUUUCUGCUGAGGAAACAGGCUCUGAGAGGCAGAUACCUGGCGAAAACAGGACUUGAAUCUCAUCUUCUUCCGACUUCAAGUCCAGGGCUUUUGCUACCAUACGUGGCUCGCUCGGGUCCCAAGGCCGGCUUCGCUGGGCGGAGGCCAAGAGGCAGGGAUGUGAGAGGCAGAGUUCACUUGGCUCUUUUGGAUGAGGAGGACCAGAGAAACGCUCGCCUCAGUGCUUAGGGAGACAGGGCUUGUGGUGAGGCUACGUGGGAAGCGAGGAAGACAGGGAGGGUGCUCCCACCUCCAGGCCUCGGCAUCUCCGUGGGUGUUCAGGAAGCAGAGCAGCUCCACUGGCCUGACGUCUUUCCAUGGCUGAAGGUGCCCAACGCUCAAUCUGAUGCUUUAGUGGUCACAGAGACCUGGUCAUCCUGGGUCUUCACUCUGGUCUUCCUGCACGUCCUGCCUGCCCAGGGUCCUUGCCGGGCUUGGCUCCUGCAGCCUCACAAUCUUGCUCACAGCUUUCAGUCGCUCACUCCCUUCCUCCCCAAGAGAGGAUCUACUGGGUGCGGCGGAUCUGAUUCCUGGAGGACGGUUUCCGGCCAGACCACUUCAUGGGCUGCUAGCCAGCUGAGCGAGGGCCAGGCCCAUCUCUGGUCCAGUCAGUGGCCGGGCAGCUGGGACACUUGGUUCAGAGCAUGGUGACUUAAGAAAACCUUAGAGGGACUGUGGGCAAGGCAGGCACUUCAAGUACAAACGACUCCCUUGAACACACACCUUCAUUUCAGCUGUUUCCAUGAAGUUGUGGACAGUGCCUCUUCAUCUCUCUGUCCCCAGUGCCCAACACAGGGCUGGCAGAGUUGAGCUGCAGUGACUCUGUUGAUGGACAAGUGAAUAAAGUCAGCCAAGGAGCCUUGGGGCUCUGUUGAAGUCUGUGGCUGUGCAAUGGGACCUGUAAUUGCUGUGUCCUUGUCCAGGGCACUCCAGGAUCACCAUCCCCUCAAACCUCCCUGCUUCUAAACCUGUGGGCUUGGG
rnacentral:lncRNA from 1 species